rnacentral:rRNA from 1 species
UGGGUGGMAACUGUCUUUAAUAUAUUGUUAUGAAGUUUGUGAGUAAGUGCAAAUACUUACCUAAUUAAAAAAGACGAGAAGACCCUAGAAGCUUGAAGAUGGUUUUGUUGGGGCGACAGAAUUGCACUUAACCAAUUUUAAUAUACAUGAAGCUUUACUGUGAGAUUAAGCUACUCUAGGGAUAACAGCAUAAUUUUUAUAGUUUGUGACCUCGAUGUUGGACUAGGUAUGCUACUCUUUAGAAGAGAGUAGUAUUUGCUCUGUUCGAGCAGAAGUACCUACGUGAUCUGAGUUCAAACCGGACG